AGUCGAGCGGUAGCACAGAGAGCUUGCUCUCGGGUGACAAGCGGCGGACGGGUGAGUAACGCGUAGGAAUCUACCUAAUAGUGGGGGAUAGCCCAGGGAAACUUGGAUUAAUACCGCAUACGCCCUAAGGGGGAAAGCGGGGGAUCUUCGGACCUCGUGCUAUUAGAUGAGCCUGCGUAAGAUUAGCUAGUUGGUGAGGUAAGAGCUCACCAAGGCGACGAUCUUUAGCUGGUCUGAGAGGAUGAUCAGCCACACUGGGACUGAGACACGGCCCAGACUCCUACGGGAGGCAGCAGUGGGGAAUAUUGGACAAUGGGGGCAACCCUGAUCCAGCCAUGCCGCGUGUGUGAAGAAGGCCUUCGGGUUGUAAAGCACUUUCAGAUGUGAGGAAAGGUUGCAGAUUAAUACUCUGCAGCUGUGACGUUAACAUCAGAAGAAGGACCGGCUAACUCCGUGCCAGCAGCCGCGGUAAUACGGAGGGUCCGAGCGUUAAUCGGAAUUACUGGGCGUAAAGCGCGCGUAGGUGGUUUCGUCAGUCAGAUGUGAAAGCCCAGGGCUCAACCUUGGAAUUGCACCUGAUACUGCGGGACUAGAGUACGAUAGAGGGGAGUGGAAUUUCCGGUGUAGCGGUGAAAUGCGUA
rnacentral:rRNA from 1 species